rnacentral:rRNA from 1 species
UACAGGGGGUGCAAACGUUGCUCGGAAUCAUUGGGCGUAAAGCGCACGUAGGCGGUUCGUUAUGUCGGAUGUGAAAGCCCUUGGCUUAACCGAGGAAGUGCAUCCGAAACUGGCGAGCUAGAGUACUAAAGAGGAUCGCGGAAUUCCCGGUGUAGAGGUGAAAUUCGUAGAUAUCGGGAGGAACACCGGUGGCGAAGGCGGCGACCUGGGCCAAUAUUGACGCUGAGGUGCGAAAGCGUGGGGAGCAAACAGG